rnacentral:lncRNA from 1 species
GUGCUCUAUGGUGUUGCCUUCGCCCCGGAAGUAGUUGCGCAGCUGGGGUUUAACUUCUUUAUUCAACAAAAAUGCGGAUUCAGAAAAGCACCCAGGAAGGUUGAACCUCGAAGAUCAGACCCAGGGACAAGUGGUGAAGCAUACAAGAGAAGUGCUUUGAUUCCUCCUGUGGAAGAAACAGUCUUUUAUCCUUCUCCCUAUCCUAUAAGGAGUCUCAUAAAACCUUUAUUUUUUACUGUUGGGUUUACAGGCUGUGCAUUUGGAUCAGCUGCUAUUUGGCAAUAUGAAUCACUGAAAUCCAGGGUCCAGAGUUAUUUUGAUGGUAUAAAAGCUGAUUGGUUGGAUAGCAUAAGACCACAAAAAGAAGGAGACUUCAGAAAGGAGAUUAACAAGUGGUGGAAUAACCUAAGUGAUGGCCAGCGGACUGUGACAGGUUUGUGUUAGCUUACACGUUUUAACCAUUCAAGGGAAGAGAAAUCAAACCAAAAGGUACAGUAUGUCACAAGCAAUGGCUCUUGUACCAUGCUCACCAGUGGUUUAGAAGACAGUCUCUGUACUGAUAGGCUAAUGUAAUAGUAU